GAGACGGGAAGUACAACUUCUUCAUCUUCCAAAACCUGCAACUAGGGGAAGAGUAAAAUAUAAACAUAAAUUAAAGGAUGUACAAGUUGACUCAAGUUUUUGACCCAUUCAGUAUACUUGGAUUGGAACCUGGAGUUUCAGAUUCCGAUAUAAAGAAAGCUUAUAGAAGGCUGUCCAUCCAAUACCAUCCUGAUAAAAAUCCAGAUCAAGAGGCCAACAAAUAUUUUUGUGGAGUCCAUUUCUAAAGCAUACCAGGCUUUGACUGACCCAGUAUCCCGUGAAAACUUUGAAAAGGCUUUCAAAUGGGCAUUGCUCUUCCUCAAUUUCUCCUUGACAUAGAUGGAGCAUCCGGUGGCAUAUUAUUGCUCUGGAUAGUCGGUGUUUGUAUCCUCUUGCCCCUUGUGAUUACUGUUAUAUAUCUCUCGAGGUCAUCCAAGUAUACCGGGAACUAUGUCAUGCAUCAAACUCUUUCCGCAUAUUAUUAUCUUACGAAACCUUCGUUGGCCCCAAGCAAAGUUAUGGACGUUUUUACCAAGGCAGCUGAGUACAUGGAGAUCCCAGUUCGCAGAACAGAUGAUGAACCUCUGCAGAAGCUCUUUAUAUCUGUCAGGUGUGAGCUAAGUUUGGACCCCAAGAACGUGAAGCAAGAGCAAGCUAAGUUUUGGAAGCAGCAUCCUGCCAUAGUGAAGACGGAGCUGUUGAUACAGGCCCAGUUGACUCGUGAAUCAGCAGCCUUGUCUCCAGCCCUGCAGGGUGAUUUCAGACGUGUUCUAGAGCUUGCACCUCGCCUCCUCGAAGAGUUACUAAAGAUGGCGGUUCUACCACGAACUGCCCAAGGGCAUGGAUGGCUGAGACCUGCAGUCGGAGUAGUUGAGCUAUCUCAAUGGCUUAUUAGAGUUGUUGUUGUUGAGGGAAAAUAACUAAAAUUUCAGAAUUGCAGGCUGUUCCCCUUAGUGCAAGGAAGUCUUCUGGAGUCAGAAGGAAUUUCACCUUUCUUGCAGCUCGCUCAUUUCAGUGAUGCUGUCGUUAAAAAGAUAGCGCGGAAGAAGGUCAAAUCAUUCCAAGAGCUUCAAGAAAUGAGCUUGGAAGACCGUUCUGAACUGCUCACCCAGGUAGCGGGUUUGUCGGCAACUGCUGUUGAGGACAUUGAGAAGGUACUAGAGAUGAUGCCGUCUCUGACAAUAGACAUAACAUGUGAAACAGAAGGCGAAGAGGGUAUCCAAGAGGGUGACAUUGUUACUCUUCAACGACCCAAUGGGCUCAUAGGCGCUCUUCCUCACGCACCCUACUUCCCCUUCUACAAGGAGGAAAACUAUUGGAUUCUGCUUGCGGAUGCAGUGUCGAACAACGUGUGGUUCUCUCAUGGACGAAGGUGGAGCCAUAACGGCUGCAUCGAAAACCAUCAGCGAGACAAUGGAAGGUUCAGGAGCAGGUUUUAAGGAAACAAACGAUGCGGUGAGAGAAGCGGUUGAGAAGGUUAAAGGUGGGUCAAGACUGGUAAUGGGUAAACUCCAAGCACCCGCAGAGGGUACGUGCAACUUGACUUGCUUCUGCAUGUGCGACUCAUGGAUAGGGUGUGACGAGAAGACAUCGCUGAAAGUCAAGGUCCUGAAAAGAACUCGGGCUGGGACACGGGGAAUGGUUUCAGAGGAGGGUGCGAUUGCAGAAGAAGGUAUGGAGGAGGAAGACGAGACUGAAGAGGAGG